rnacentral:rRNA from 1 species
GGACCCGCACAAGUAGUGGAGCAUGUGGUUUAAUUCGAAGAUACGCGCAGAACCUUACCAACACUUGACAUGUUCGUCGCGACUCUAAGAGAUUAGAGUUUUCGGUUCGGCCGGACGAAACACAGGUGCUGCAUGGCUGUCGUCAGCUCGUGUCGUGAGAUGUUGGGUUAAGUCCCGCAACGAGCGCAACCCUCACUUUUAGUUGCCAUCAUUAAGUUGGGCACUCUGAAAGAACUGCCAGUGAUAAGCUGGAGGAAGGUGGGGAUGACGUCAAGUCCUCAUGGCCCUUACGUGUUGGGCUACACACGUGCUACAAUGGUAUCUACAACAGGAAGCAAGACUGCGAAGUUAAGCAAAUCCCUAAAAGAUACCUCAGUUCGGAUUGCACUCUGCAACUCGAGUGCAUGAAGCUGGAAUUACUAGUAAUCGUGGAUC